rnacentral:rRNA from 1 species
UACGUAGGGUGCAAGCGUUGCCCGGAUUUAUUGGGCGUAAAGGGCGCGUAGGCGGCUCGGCACGUCCGUUGUGAAAUCGCCCGGCUCAACUGGGCGGGGUCGGCGGAUACGGCCGAGCUGGAGCAAGCUAGGGGGUAAUGGAAUUCCCGGUGUAGUGGUGGAAUGCGUAGAUAUCGGGAGGACCACCAGUGGCGAAGGCGGUUACCUGGAGCUUUGCUGACGCUGAUGCGCGAAAGCGUGGGGAGCGAUCCGG